GCAACGAUUGGGCGUUCAUACCUCUGCCCUCUCUGUCCUAAGCAGUGUACACAUUCUAGUUGGAUUUUGUUGAUAGCUUCGCAUGGAAUCUGAAGCACUGUAAGGAGGAACUCUCUAACUACAGAUUCAGGAACUUCUCCAUCUUUCUCUUGGAUACCUGGCUAUCUUCUGUAUACCGUUGGGCCAGGAACUGAAAGGUAGAUCGAAUCCCCGAGCUGACAAGUGACACUGACUCUGAAUGGGAGCCCCCAGUGCCAAGGUGUCCAUCCCCCACUGAAGCUGGUUCAUCCAGCUCCUGCCACAAGUGGUGUUCAUCUGACCAAAUGUAUUUCUGCAGGCAUGGAUGUGCUAUGGCACCUGGCAUCAGCAGCAUAAUAUUGUGUAGAGGACUGAGGGUCUUCCAAAUAUUGAAAAUGUUAUUUUGUAAAUGUGUAUAUAUUUUUUUCAUGUUUUUUCUCCAUUUUGUUGGGGGGGUGUUAGAAUACCAUUUUGGUAUUUUGUAUAUAGUUAUUCCAUUCAAAAUGUAUAACUUCACCAAUUUGGCCACUUGGGUACAUUUGGGCUACUUGUGUGGGACACCUGGGUGACUUCAUGAUAAAUGUCAUGUAACACACUCAUUUUGAAAGUUAUCAUUCUGAAACUUUGCACACGUACUGUUGCCCUCAUGUUUUUCACAGAAAUUUUCCCCAUCAUCCUAUCUGAAUGUU
ensembl:lncRNA